CCUACGGGCGGCAGCAGUGAGGAAUAUUGGUCAAUGGACGAGAGUCUGAACCAGCCAAGUAGCGUGAAGGAUGACUGCCCUAUGGGUUGUAAACUUCUUUUAUAUGGGAAUAAAAUGUUCCACGUGUGGGAUUUUGUAUGUACCAUAUGAAUAAGGAUCGGCUAACUCCGUGCCAGCAGCCGCGGUAAUACGGAGGAUCCGAGCGUUAUCCGGAUUUAUUGGGUUUAAAGGGAGCGUAGGUGGGUUGUUAAGUCAGUUGUGAAAGUUUGCGGCUCAACCGUAAAAUUGCAGUUGAAACUGGCAGUCUUGAGUACAGUAGAGGUGGGCGGAAUUCGUGGUGUAGCGGUGAAAUGCUUAGAUAGCACGAAGAACUCCGAUUGCGAAGGCAGUUCACUGGACUGCAACUGACACGGAGGCUCGAAAGUGUGGGUAUCAAACAGGAUUAGAGACCCGGGUAGUC
rnacentral:rRNA from 1 species